CUUUGCAACCAUAAGCUGUGAGAUGCCACUUUAGUCCAAAAAUACUGAGUUGCCCACAUGUAUUGCAGUCAAAACAUUUCUCGCAAACUUUCUUAUCUAGCGAAUACCAAUUUUUCCAUAUCCUUGUUCAAUUCCGAGAUCAAAGCCUUGGUUCUACAAGGACAAUGCUUUGAAGCCUUGCAAUUGUACUCUAUAAAUCCUCUUAACACUACCAAAUUCAUCUACCCUUCUCUCCUCAGGGCCUGUGCUUUUCUUUCAAAUCUUCAUUAUGGAAAAAUUAUACACUCCACAAUCAUCACCACAGGCUUAUUCUCUGAUCAAUUUAUCACUGCUUCACUUAUUAACAUGUACGUUAAAUGUGGGUCGCUCAGAGAUGCAGCUCAUGUGUUUGAUAAAUUGCCUGGCAGCGGAGUUGUAGAUCAGGAUGUUACAAUUUGGAACUCAAUAAUUGAUGGGUAUUUUCGUUUUGGUCAUCUUAAAGAGGGUGUAGGUCAAUUUCAUCGGAUGCAGUUAUUUGGUGUUAGGCCUGAUGCCUACUCAUUGUGUAUUCUACUCGGUGAGCGCCAUGGAUAUAUGGGAUAUAAGGAAGGGAAGCAAAUUCAUGGUUAUAUUGUUAGAAACGUGUUGAACGGUGACCCUUUCUUGGAGACUGCACUUAUAGAUACAUACUUUAGUUGUGGCAGGCCAGAAGAUGCGUGGUGUUUGUUCAAAGAGUUGGAAGAUCAGAGCAAUGUUGUAGCAUGGAAUGUGAUGAUUGGAGGCUUUGGGGAAAAUGGGUUGUGGGAAAAGAGCUUGGAGUUAUAUUUGUUAGCGAAGAAUAAGAAUGUUAAACUUGUGUCAGCAUCAUUUACUAGUAUUAUACGUGUUUGUUGUCGAGGUGAAUUUGUGAGUUUUGGCAACCAGGUUCAUUGUGAUGCAAUCAAGGUGGGUUUUGAGAAUGAUCCUUAUGUUUGUACUUCUCUUCUGACCAUGUAUGCCAAGUGCCAACUGGUUGAACGUGCAGAAAAAAUCUUUAAUCAGGUGCCACAUAAAGAAAUUGAAUUAUGGAAUGCGAUGAUAUCAGCUUAUGUUGGUGAUGGAUUUGCUUAUGAUGCUUUAAAAAUCUACAAACAAAUGAGGCUAUGUAAAAUUCUGCCUGAUUCUUUUACUAUUUCAACUAUUCUAUCAUCUAGCAGCAUCUUUGGAUUCUAUGAUUUUGGUAGGUUGAUUCAUACAGAGUUAGUGAAAAGGCCCAUAGAGAGUAAUAUUACUGUACAGAGUGCAUUGCUAACUAUGUACUCUAGAUGUGGGAAUAAUGAUGAUUCUUAUUCAGUUUUUAGUAAAAUGAACGCAAGGGACGUGGUUGCAUGGGGCUCUAUGAUAUCAGGUUUUUGCCAAAAUAGGCAAUACAAGGAAGCUUUGGAGAUUUUCAGAGCAAUGAAGGGAGAUGGGGUGAAAGUAGAUUCUGAUAUUAUGGCAAGCAUUAUCAGUGCCUGUACAGGAGUAGAGAAGGUAGAAUCAGGCUGUGUUAUGCAUGGAUUUGUUAUUAAAAGUGGACUGGAAAUGGAUGUUUUUGUUGCUAGUUCCCUGGUAGAUAUGUACUCCAAAUUUGGUUUUCCAGAUAGGGCUGGAAAUGUUUUUUCUGAUAUGUCCUUUAAGAACCUUGUGGCUUGGAAUUCUAUAAUAUCUUGCUAUAGCCGGAAUGGCCUAUCAGAGUUGUCCAUUAGUCUUUUUUCUCAAAUUGUACAACAUGGCUUUUAUCCAGAUUUGGUCUCCUUUACAAGUGUCCUUGUUGCUAUUUCAUCAGUUGCAGCAUUGCUGAAAGGAAAGAGUGUACAUGGGUACUUGAUAAGACUUAGGACUGCAUUCACAUUUGAUCUUCAAGUAGAGAAUACAUUAAUUGAUAUGUAUAUCAAGUGUGGAUUCUUGAAAUAUGCAGAGCAUAUUUUUCAAAGCAUGUCUCAGAAAAGCUUGGUGACGUGGAAUUCAAUGAUUUCAGGUUAUGGAUCUCAUGGGGUGUGCUUCAAAGCAUUGAGAUUAUUUGAUGAGAUGAGAAGUUCUGAAAUCACACCUGAUGAUGUUACUUUCCUUUCUCUGCUGUCAGCUUGCAACCAUUCGGGUUUAAUUGAGGAAGGCCUAGAUCUGUUUGAAGUGAUGAAGACUGAGUAUGCCAUUGAGCCCAGAAUGGAGCAUUAUGUAAACCUAGUUGAUUUUUUUGGUCGUGCAGGGCGCCUAGAUGAUGCUUACUCUUUUGUGAAAAACAUGCCCAUUAAACCUGACAGGAGUAUCUGGCUAUCUUUGUUGUCUUCCUGCCGAAACCAUUAUAACGUAGAGCUUGGAGAAAUGGUAGCCAAUGAACUAUUAAAGAUGGAACCAAGCAGAGGCAGCAACUAUGUCCAACUAUUGAAUCUUUAUGGAGAAGCUCAAUUGUGGGACAGGGCAGCAAACUUGAGGGCAUCAAUGAAAGAAAAAGGAUUGAAGAAGACUCCCGGAUGCAGUUGGAUUGAAGUGAGAAAUAAGGUUGAUGCUUUCUUUUCUGGGGAUUGUUCAUCUCCAAGAACAAUCGAGAUAUAUGAGACAUUGAGUAGUCUUAAGAGGAACAUGGUUAAGAAACAAGAUAACUAUGAAAGUGAGGUAUUGUAAGAAAGGAGAAUAGAGAAGUUCAAAGUUCUUCCUUGCAUUUGAGUUACCGGAAGCUCAUGAUUUAUGCGUCAGUGAAAUGUGUUGUAAAAGUGGAGGAGCAUUUGAGCUAAGGUUUCAGUGCAAAAGUGAAGGACUUUCUUUUUAGGUGCAAUUGGCUCUUAGAUACUCCAACUCGAGACCUCACAAUUCUAGAGAUGACUCUAGCACUAUUGAACCAAAACUCAUUGGUGAGGAGUGGAGGAAUUUAACAGUGCAGAAUGUAUUGUAAAAUAUGAACGCGGAACAUGAGAGCAUCUCAGAAGGAUGUCUGAUCUCUGAGAGUGAACCCAAUGCAUCUGCUAUUAAAUGGAUUUAGAGUACACUUAAUGAGAUGAUCUGUCCACUCAAAUUCCUAAAGAGUUGAAAGAGAAGGAUCAAGCAACUUCCAUGAGCUACCUGCAAGGAUAUGGGCACUAAAGCAACAAUAUUAGUAAAGCAAUUUAAUUGGCUGUUUGCAACCAUUUGAAGAACUACAGUGCUUCUUAUGUACUUGAAAAGAUAAGGAAAUGGAAUAAUU
rnacentral:misc_RNA from 1 species